AACUUAUAGAGUUUGCCCAAACUAAUUUUUUAAAAAUUUGGUUUACUAUCAAAUCUUCCAGUUUGAUUGAUUUGAGUCAGUCAACGAUAUUGUCAUUAUUGUUAUUAUUAAUAACUGCUCUGUGAAUCUGACAAUUUUUUUUUUCUAUUAUCCGAGAAUGAAUUUUUUUUGUAUCAAAUUUAAAUCCUGGCCCCCUCGAAUUUUAAUUUCUGGCUUCGUCCUGAUUCUCUAUGUUGGAUGUAAUUAGAAAUGAAGUAUGUUUGAAGAUGCACGCAUUUAGAGAUGCGGCAUUUACAACUACAUAUUUAUCGUUUGGCCGAAUGCAGUAGAUAAAUAAGGUAAGUUUAUCUUUUGUUAAAAUUAUUUGUAAUUAGACCUCCUCAUGCUAUUCCAACUACAACAGAUGAAUUCAAACGCAUCAAACCAAAUAUAAGAUUUGAAUUUGCAUGUAGUAUAAGACUACAAUAUAAUUG
rnacentral:lncRNA from 1 species